ensembl:lncRNA
CUAGUAACAGCCGUCUCCCAAGCUCACUUGGCCUGAGACGGUCAACAGCGAACAUGCUGAGCUGCUUCUCCACUUCGAGAGGCCGUAGCCUCAGGACCCCAGGUAGAGAAAGUAUCUGUGAAAGACUAAGAAGAGGCUGGCUCCAUCCAGACACCGCAUGACUGUCCCAGAAACCCCAGGGACGGUCUCCCUGGGAGUGACCACCAGUGACCUACCAAAAUCAAGGGAUGAAAAAGAGACCAGUUUGGGAGAGGAGAGCCCACAUCGUACCAUGGUAGUAAACACCUCAUGCAUCCUGUGUGAUUGAUCCCUUUUGUCAACUGAGCAAGUCAUGGAAAUUUACUGAAUUCUAGUGACUUCAUCAACAAAAAGAAGAGAGGAUAAUGCUUGGUCAAAAGAACUGGACAAACACUGUUAAGAACUUCUUUGGAGUAAAGAGAGCAUGGCAAAUAUACACCAUGGACUGUAAUGCACCCAUAAAGAAGAGUGAAAUCAUGUAAUUUACAGAAGAAAAAUGUAUGGAGCUGGAGAUCAUCGUGAUAAGUAAAAGAAGCCAGACUCAGAAAGCCAAGGAUCAUAUGUUUUCUUUCGUAUAUGGAAUCUAGAAAAAGAGGGAUGACAUGAGAGUAAAAAAGGAGACCAUUAGAGAAGGAG